UUCCGUGUAAAAAUAGAUGUAGAAUGGAUACCUCUAAAUACCUGUAUCUUUAAUUAUUUAUGUAUUUUUCAAUUUAGAACUUUUUUUCUGCAUCAAAUUGUAGAGUAAUUGCAAAAUAUUCAUCUGUAUGUUUAACUUCCACUCAAAAAAUUGAAUCUUUGUUGAUGUAUCUAUAUAAGAAGAGAUCCAAGAAGGAUCCAUUUGCCAGCCCUAUUUGCAACUAUCAUAAUUUGUUAAUUCUUAACUUGGAUUUAAAUCUUAUGUUUAAAAAACAAUUCUAUUUGUUGCUUUUCCUUUAUCUGGGGACUUUUCUAUACGCCAAAAAACUACAGUGUAUAAAAUAAAAAACUAGAGGCUCUAAAGAGUAUGUGUCGCUUGCCUUUUACCCUUAUAUUUUAUUUGAACCCAUGUCAGAUAUGUUGGUUUAAAAAAAAACCAAGAUACCCAAAUGAUGAUUGUGGCCAACUUUGGUUAAAUUAUGCCCUGAAGUUUCAGAGGAGAUGGUCUUCAUAAAAAAAUAACUGACAAUGCUGACAACAGGCUACAGACUCCAAGAGAUGGCAAAAGCUCACACUGGCCCUUUGGGCCAGAUGAGCUAAAAUCAAAACAACCAGACAUAUACUAUUCUACUCAGUAAGUGUCAUGGGGUAUAAAAUGUUAAGUGCAUAAACAGAACAAAAAACUUAUUCAAAAUAAAUUAAAAAUUGUUCAAUUAUUUCUAUUUUGACUAGUUUUCUUCAAAAGUCAAUUCCAAAGAUAUAAUCUAACAAGAAAAACAUAAUCAUUUUACACAACUUUAACAAUUAAACAUACAAAAACACAAUAAAUUAACAAAUAUGAAUAACAAUUAUAGUACACAUAUAUAUCUUAUAAGCAAUGGAUGAACAAAGAUUGCACUUAAUGCUUUUAAUAUAUAACACAACAAGAGUCAUUCAAACACCAAGUCACAAUAAAUGCAUUUACAGAAUCACAUAUUUUUCUUCUUUCUCUGUAAACCAUCUUUCCUGAGGUUAUUAUAUAUGUAUUCAGAUAGUCUGACAACAUGGUUAAUUUGUCUACUUAGACUAAUUGUUGUUGCUCCAUGAAACACAAAAUAGUCAAAAAUAUUUCAGAAUAUGUUAGGACUUUAACUUAAAACUAAUCUUUUCAAACAAAUUAAUUAAAAUUCCAGAAAAAUUUCUUUUUGGUUUACAUUGCUGUAUUUUUUUAAUAUCAACAUUUUUCUCAUAACCUACUGUAUAGUUGAUGUUUUUCCCCUUUUUUUAAAGUAACAUAUGUAUCACGUUGUUCCAAAGUCAUAAAUCGAUUGAGACAAAACAGAUUACAAACUAAAACAGAGGGAAACACAUCAACUAUAGGAUCCUGUAAUACCUGUCAUAAAAAAGACCAUAUUAAUUGCCCUAAGAAAAUGUUACUUCCAUUGCAUUGAAAAUUAUAUGUGUACAGGCUUUCUGGCAAGAGGUAAAGAAGAAGAAUGCACGAGGGUGGUAAUGGGGGUACCUUCAUGACGAAUAACGGUAAAAAUUCUUGCCAAAUGACGUUAAAGGUAAUUUUUGGUGCAUGACGAUAAAAUACGCCCUUUCUUUUAGACGAUAAUAAAAUCGAAUGAUUUUGACGAAUCACAUGAAAUUUUUUCCAAAAAUAACGGUAACAAUAAUUAUUUGAGACCUCUGACAAAUCACGGUAAGGAUAUUUUGACAAAUCACGGUAAAACUUUAAUGAAUUUGAUGCUAACAGUAGCCAAAAAUGGCCGUUUGACGCCUGACAGUAAAGGGCAUUACUACCCUCAUGCACCAUUUCACAAUCAAGAGGUAAAGAAUAUGAAGGGGUGGAUAUCUCAGAAAAUGUCAAUGUAUUUGGUUUGGUCUUUUUUCUUUGGUUGAUACAAUACAUAAAACUUGUUAGAGCUCAUGUUUCAGUAUAACUUGGGAAUUUGAAAAUUUGCGUAUUUUUAUGAGUAUGAAGCUUGUUUAAUUUUUCACAAUCUAUGUGAAAUUUGUUAAAUCUUAAAAUAAGCUAUAUUUAUUGUGACUUUUUAACAAAAACAAUUUAAUCUUUUCUUUCAUAUCACAAGACUAUCAGGAUACAUACACAUAUGAUAUCAACACAAUAUUCCAUUUCUACCAAAAUUAGAGAAAUUCUUGUGUACAAUUAUGCAGUUUCAAUCAUAUUUCUGUCAUAU
rnacentral:lncRNA from 1 species